ACCAUUAUCUAGCAAGAGAUUGAAGAAUAUUGAGGCCAUAUCUAAAGGUAAACAGGGAUGAGAUGCACAAAACCUAGUUAAGGACGUAAGCAACAUGCGCCAAGUUCCAGAUCAUCAGGUUAGAGACUUCCUGAAUGCUUAAUUUUUCUUUCCUCCAAAUUUGUUGUUUUCUUUUGUAAGGCAUUAAAAACUACUCAUCUUUACUAUUUUAGAUGCCUAUAGAUCUUACACAUAUAGCAAGUAAACAACAGGCAAUUUGGUUUCAUAAACAGGUCGAUUAUAGUUCGGAGGGGGGAUGAAUCCUAAUACACCAACAAUAUUUUUUCAA